GUCCUCCCUGUUACUGCCUUUGUUCGUUCCUGUUACCCCAAAAAAUGUGUAAAAUAAUUUUUACAAUCAACAUAACUGAUCUAUUGACUAAGUUUCCAGUUAGUAUAAUUGAAAAGGGACAUAAUAGUAAAUUUUCAAUGCCACUGUCUCCACAAUAUUUUUUUAAGAGUGUUUGAAAAAUAAGAAAUGUGAUGAUUUUCCUGAACGUACCGAC
rnacentral:lncRNA from 1 species